UAUUUAGGAUUACUCAAUGAAAACUAGUUAAUGAUUUUUGAAAAAUUAGAUUUAAAACAACAGCCAAAGUAGUUACAGUCAAAACUGUAUUCAUACUGUAAAUACUUUAGCAGUCUUCAAGACAUACAACUUUUUCACAUAUUUGAGCUCUGCAUAAACAGGUACAAGAUGAAAACUAGCAUUUUCUGUGUGGCUAUAGCUAAGGACUAUGAAUAAGGAAAACUGUGUACUAACCACUGAAAAAGGGACAGCUUCCUAGGUCUUCCUCCCCAGUAAACUUACUCUCUCAUUCUCAACCCUGCUUUUUUCUCUCUUACUCUAGAUUAUAACUAAGCCUACUUGAUUUAAAAGGAACCUCACCAUAGCUGAAAUUAUCACCACUAGCAAAUAUCAAAAUUUUUACAUCCAUCUGGAGGUCACAUGAUCCUCUAUAGCUACAUACAAGUUUGUUCAGCUUCUGUUAAAUUAGCUUUUUGUUUUUGUUUUUUGGCUGGGGGCAACUAUACU
rnacentral:lncRNA from 1 species